rnacentral:rRNA from 1 species
GAUGAACGCUGGCGGCGCGCCUAACACAUGCAAGUCGAACGGCACCCCUCUCCGGAGGGAAGCGAGUGGCGAACGGCUGAGUAACACGUGGAGAACCUGCCCCCUCCCCCGGGAUAGCCGCCCGAAAGGACGGGUAAUACCGGAUACCCCGGGGUGCCGCAUGGCACCCCGGCUAAAGCCCCGACGGGAGGGGAUGGCUCCGCGGCCCAUCAGGUAGACGGCGGGGUGACGGCCCACCGUGCCGACAACGGGUAGCCGGGUUGAGAGACCGACCGGCCAGAUUGGGACUGAGACACGGCCCAGACUCCUACGGGAGGCAGCAGUGGGGAAUCUUGCGCAAUGGGGGGAACCCUGACGCAGCGACGCCGCGUGCGGGACGGAGGCCUUCGGGUCGUAAACCGCUUUCAGCAGGGAAGAGUCAAGACUGUACCUGCAGAAGAAGCCCC